rnacentral:ncRNA from 1 species
AUUAUUCUCCGUGGUGAUUUGAGCGACCGGCUUGCGGCCACGUUAAACAAACAGCUAAAAGGUUCGGCGCUUUCUUGA